rnacentral:rRNA from 1 species
UGAAUGUGCGCGAGUCAAAGGGCUGGCUAAACCCCAAGGCGGAACGAAAGUGAUUUUCUCUUUUCAUAGGGCUGAUCCGGUUCGGAAAGCGCGAGCGGGGAAAGUUCUAUUAGUGGUGCGUUUCCUCUUCCUCCUCUGGGGGUCGCGGGGGCGUCGCUGCUGGUGGGGCUCCCUCAACUCUCCUCCCGAUUUGCCACCCUGAUAUGUGGACGGCGCAAGCCCGGGGCCCGCAUUUGCUCCUCUUCGCGCGAUAAUUUAGAGCGCGCGCGUCAGCGCGUCGUUCGUAACUAAGUCGCGGGGACGGGCAGCGGGUACCUUGAGCGCACAUUCUAGGACCCGAAAGAUGGUGAUCUAUGCGUGGCGAGGAUGAAGCCAGGGGAAACUCUGGUGGAAGUCCGUAGCGAUUCUGACGUGCAAAUCGAUCGUCG